rnacentral:rRNA from 1 species
UGGGGAAUUUUGGACAAUGGGCGCAAGCCUGAUCCAGCCAUGCCGCGUGCGGGAAGAAGGCCUUCGGGUUGUAAACCGCUUUUGUCAGGGAAGAAACGAGUUUCUCUAAUACAGAGACUUAAUGACGGUACCUGAAGAAUAAGCACCGGCUAACUACGUGCCAGCAGCCGCGGUAAUACGUAGGGUGCAAGCGUUAAUCGGAAUUACUGGGCGUAAAGCGUGCGCAGGCGGUUAUGCAAGACAGAUGUGAAAUCCCCGGGCUCAACCUGGGAACUGCAUUUGUGACUGCAUAGCUGGAGUGCGGCAGAGGGGGAUGGAAUUCCGCGUGUAGCAGUGAAAUGCGUAGAUAUGCGGAGGAACACCGAUGGCGAAGGCAAUCCCCUGGACCUGUACUGACGCUCAUGCACGAAAGCGUGGGGAGCAAACA